CAUAGGGACAAAGGAAAGGGUACAGGCAAGAUGAUGUUGGAGAGACAUUCCAGAAGGACAGCUGUUCAGCAGUCUAAGUUGGAGUGGUUCAGAAGAUUCCAGAAGAGACUUCCUCAGAGAGAUGAACUGAUAGCGUAUCUGAGGUGCCAUGGGAGAACAGAGGACACAAAGGGUAGGAUGCCUGCCCUCACAGGAGCUCACAGCCUAUGAGACACAAAACGUGUCCAGAAAAGGAGCCCAUGCGUGGAGAAUGGCUCUCUUCUAGGCUUUUGUGCUAUAUUCAUGUUAAGCAGAUGAAAACCCUUGCCUCUGGUGUUUUUUCCAAAUUCCAGAAGGAAUGUUUACAUGAUCGUCAUGCGCUGACUGGCACAUUCCAAGUCAGGAAAUGAGGUCGCUAAGACAGCUGCCAUGAACAAGGGAACCCAUGACCACAAGAGAACCGAUGACAAAGUCUGCUACUGUAUUGACUUGAUGUUGUGGGAGGAAAUGAAAUACUAAGGCAUGAGACUUCCAUACAAGACUUCUUAAAGGUUCAGAAAAUCAAAAAUGUAUAGAUUCUAACACAUAUAUAGUCUAACACAUGAAAUGUAACAUUUAUCUUAAACUAUGGUUGGUUCUAAGUCUUAUGAAUAUCCAGGUGGCGGAGCUGGAAGAAAUUUAACACUUUUUUUCCUUUCUGGAAAGCAGGAAUUUUAAUCUAAUCUCAAUCCUGCUUCUACCUAGCUGAGUGACCACAGGGGAGUCAUUUAAACAAUCUGAGUUUCCUUGUUUGAAACCAAUGAUUCCUCAGAAUUUCCUUAUUGUACCCUUCUUCCCUCCCCAUCCCAUGUUCCUGGAAAUCUGUAAUUCUCUGGGAAUUUAGUAUUAUUCGUUUCAGACACUUCCAUUCUCUUAGCUAAGUGUUACAGAUUGCAGUGAA